rnacentral:rRNA from 1 species
CUGCUGCCUUCCGUAGGAGUUUGGGCCGUGUCUCAGUCCCAAUGUGGCCGUUCACCCUCUCAGGCCGGCUACUGAUCGUCGCUUUGGUGGGCCGUUACCCCGCCAACUGGCUAAUCAGACGCGGGUCCAUCUUACACCACCGGAGUUUUCAGACAGAAGACAUGCGUCUCCUCUCAUUAUGCGGUAUUAGCACCUAUUUCUAAGUGUUAUCCCCCAGUGUAAGGCAGGUUACCCACGCGUUACUCACCCGUCCGCCACUAAGA